rnacentral:tRNA from 1 species
GGCGGCGUACCCAAGUGGACUAAGGGAGCGGAUUGCAAAUCCGCGAUUCGUGGGUUCGAAUCCCACCGCCGCCU